rnacentral:rRNA from 1 species
ACACGGCCCAGACUCCUACGGGAGGCAGCAGUAGGGAAUCUUCCGCAAUGGACGAAAGUCUGACGGAGCAACGCCGCGUGAACGAAGAAGGCCUUCGGGUCGUAAAGUUCUGUUGUUAGGGAAGAACAAGUACCAGAGUAACUGCUGGUACCUUGACGGUACCUAACCAGAAAGCCACGGCUAACUACGUGCCAGCAGCAGCGGUAAUACGUAGGUGGCAAGCGUUGUCCGGAAUUAUUGGGCGUAAAGCGCGCGCAGGUGGUUCCUUAAGUCUGAUGUGAAAGCCCACGGCUCAACCGUGGAGGGUCAUUGGAAACUGGGGAACU